GCCGUCUUUCGCGUCACACGGCGUCGGGGGAGGGGAAGGGGCGAGGGAAGGCGUCGGAAGUACCGCAUAGAUGAGGGCGAAGGAAAAGCUUUGGUAAGUGUAUCUGCCUCAAACACCAGAACAAACAAGAGUUCUGUCCAUUCCCUAAAAGGUUAUUCUACUUUGGAAUUUGACUCCGAUCCAGCAAGAACGACAUGGCUUGUACAUUCAUUAAGUUCUAAUGGAAGAAGAAGCGAAUGAGGAGGCUCAAGAGGAAACGCCGAAAGAUGCGGCAGAGAUCAAAGUAGGUAGCCAGGGUUGAACUGCAUCCAUCACAUCUCAGUUAUGAAGGUGGCCGAUUUAGAUUAAGUUCUCGACAUGAUGGUGGGGUGUAUCAUUGGAAGCUAACUCUUUUCCUGAUGAUGCCGUCUGAUCUUUAUGAUUCUGCUUUGUCUGCAAUGAUUUUGUUUGAAGACAAUAUUUCCAAUUUAAUCGAAUGCCUUUGAUAUCUUUUAUUGGUUUUA